AACACCACUGGUCCCAUCUGGCUGCUCAAUCGUACUUUUGAAGUUACGGGAUACACAUGCGUAUAUAUAAAAAAAGUGGAUUUGACAGACAAUUACUAUGUAUUCGACCUGAGUUACGUGGACAAUGACAAUGCACGUAACACAUUGCGCCGAAAUGCGACGCUUUCUGUGGACACGGAGAAAAAACUAGGAAGUGUGAUGUUCGUCGCUCAAGCAGGGCCCUUUCCUGCAACAAAGUUCUUACUUCACCACUGGGAUGAAAAGAACCACUGCGGAAUUCUCUCUUUUCAAAAUUAUGAGGGAAUGAAUCAGUGUGAAAUGUAUGCUUGGGAUGAAAGUUUAAAUGGUGAUCUUAGUGAAUGCAAGCGAGAAUUCGGCUUGUAUGCAACUUAUAUGCAUACAUUCCAAACUGUGUACUCGGACACCUGCACUUCACUCAUGGGAUGUUGAAGAUCUUCCUGCUCGCCAAAUUUUCGUAAGAAAAUCUGCGCAGAAAGUAAUACUUUUAUGCCAGAAACUUCGUCCUCUUUCUUAUGUGUUUCUCUUAUGCUUGCUGAGCAGGUAUGAUUUAUGAACACAAAUAAACGCUUUACGCA